rnacentral:rRNA from 1 species
UACGAAGGGGGCUAGCGUUGUUCGGAAUCACUGGGCGUAAAGGGUGCGUAGGCGGGUCUUUUAAGUCAGGGGUGAAAUCCUGGAGCUCAACUCCAGAACUGCCUUUGAUACUGAAGAUCUUGAGUUCGGGAGAGGUGAGUGGAACUGCGAGUGUAGAGGUGAAAAUUCGUAGAUAUUCGCAAGAACACCAGUGGCGAAGGCGGCUCACUGGCCCGAUACUGACGCUGAGGCACGAAAGCGUGGG